AUUUUGUAGUUAUGUAACAUAUAGACUGUUGGUUUCCAAAACUGGUGGAGGUGAAACUUGUCAUCUGAGGUAGGGUGGGUCUCAGAGCUCACUCCAAUCAACACUGAGAACAGCUGACAUCCAUCAACCUUGCCCAACCCUGUGUUUACAAUCUGGAACAGAUAUAGACUUGAUUUGACAAAGGUCCAGAAAUGUAUAAGGGAAGGAAAGAGGGCAAAAAUUUAAUCCAUUAGGGAGGUGACAUUCUACCAGCAGGAGUGUCUCUGGAAAAGCAGAUCCCAGCUCUCUGGAGUGGACAAGCACUGAAAGGACUGACCACUGGGUAUCUGAGUGGACCUGGCUUCCCAGAUGUUCUUGUCCCUUUUCCAACACCUGGCUUAAACUCUCCACCGCAGCUGUUCAGCUUCUGAGUUAGCCUGAGCUACAUCUGUAUCAGCUGGGCUGUCUGGCCUUGAGCCAGUCCUGAAGAGCCCGCGCACCAGGUCCACCACCCCAGAAUGUGGCAAAGAGGCAUGCAGAAUGAAGAGGAGAAACUGCCACUCCUUGCCUCCAUUCUGGAGUAAGAUGCAGAGGAGAACAUUUGACUCACAGCUGGCCCAGGGGAUACUCCCAAUCAUGGAGCACCAGGAAGAUCUUAUGGAAUGCCAUGAUGUCUCACCAUUUCCAACAAAAUAUGGCACUCUAGCAGUUCACAUAGUAGUAUCAAAAAAAUCCCUGAAUGAUAAUAGUCAUGCAGUGGCCCAUUCUUCUUUCAACACAUAGUGCAGUCCAAUUAAACUAAUCAAAAGGCCUCAUUCUCUUUUUAGACUAGGAGAAUUCUCUGUAUUGUUUCCAAAGAGAUCUCCCUUGACUCGCUGUUAGCAUGGAUUUUCUGCAUGCAAGUUUUACCAUUGCUUGAGAUAAAGAAUUAUCCUUACAGUUUCUGUUCUUUCCCUUUUUUUGUUUCAUUUUUAGAGGAUGCAACUGUUCUGAUGGUCUUUUUCAUAGAAGAGUAAAGCAGAAGCUGAUGAGAUGUGUAUCUAAAAGAAACACAAUGUGAAUUAUGUCAUCAAAGAAUGGGAAGGGGGCCGGAAAUUGCUUUCAGUAAGAUCUUGUGUCAGUAAAGUAGUGAUAUGGAAAUGCUGGGUCUUACUCUAUUAAAAACAAGAGCAGGAACAUAUUAUUUUAUUCAAUGGAACAACAUUAGCCUCAUCCUAACAGGCUGAGGGUUUGAUUAAAAAAAGAAGAAAAAAAAAGCAAUUUGCCCUUUCGUGUUCAAACUGUGUAUUCCUCAGUGAGGAAGAGCAAAAAAUGCAUGCAUUCUCGUUAACCCCUUGGGUGCCAGACAUGUAAAGCUCUGGAGAGGCAGGGCCAGUGCCAUGAUAAUGCACAGGAAAACAGUGUAUUGUACACUUGUUAAGUCACCUGAGUACGCACUUUUUCUGAAUUGAAGGUACCAGAGAGGGAGGCGGUGCAGAGUACUAGAUGGUGUAUGGGAAUGCCAGGCAGGAGACUUGUAUGGUGCUCUCACUUCUGCCACUCACUGUGUUGCCUUGGACAAGUCACUUAACUUCUCCAACUAGUUUCUCCACUAGUAGACGAUAACUUAGAGAACGAUGCCAUCUAUUAGUAUUAUUGUUUGUUUUUUAGUUUGUCUUAUAUUGGUGCUCAGGAAUCCCAAUCAAGGCUCAAAGCCUGGAGAUGAGCAGGGUUUUAUGAAUGAGAAUCAUAUUAUUAUUAGUAGACGGUCUCUGGGAUUUAAACUUCACAAACAGGAGGGCAGGGCUAUAUGAUUGGCCCAAUGAGCUUCACAUGCAUUGGAAGGAAAAGACAGUAUCUGCAAUGUGCUUUUUGAAAAACAGCACCGAUUCUGCUUUGGUGCACCCAAUCAGCUCUAUUGAGACCUGACUGUGGGGGGGAAGCGGGGCAGGCACAUAAGUAGAAGAGCAGAAUGUGAUGCAAAGUCAUUAGGAUACUCAUGGCCAGCCCCCUCCCAGGCCUGCCCUCUGGCACAGGUACUGCAUAGGACAGCCAUAUGGACAGGCACUGUGUAGUCCAAGCCCUCAAGUAAGGCCUGGUUGAGAAGGGUGUCCCCACAUUAUAUGCAGCAACAGUGAUUCCAAGAUGCUGCCCAGUAGCCCAUAGGCAGCCCAGGAAGGAAGAGUGCUAUACAUUAAAGUAGCUCUUGACUGCUCUGCUUUACUUCAGGAGAUUCACUAGCCCAGACUCAGCCAGGUGUUUGGAGCCUCCUUUAACCUCCCUCCAUUUCCAGGAGACAGAGCACAACUGGGCCAUAACUCUUUAAGGGAUUUUGAACUGGGCCAAAUUAGGCAUGUCAAAAAAUUGUUAGGCACAGUUGUGUUCUCACCGUUACAAGCAAAUCAUCCAAUAUAGCCACCAAGAGGGAACAGCCUGGAGCUUGAGUUAGACACCUGCAACUGACUGUAUCACCUAGGAGAGUGUGCUGAGCUGGGAAAACAGGGGACAGCUGGGGAAAAAACUAAACCUUUGAGCAAAGCCUAGGGAAGCAAGCACUGCACUGGAGAUGUGUAGUGGCUCUCCCUCCUCGUGGGGUUUUAGCCAUUAAAUCAGCAUAGUCAUAGACCCAUUGCCCAUUCUCCCUUAUCUUUCCACUCCAUCCUCUGUGCUAUCAUAGAAAGAAACACUGUGGAACAGUGACCUAGCCAUAAGGGUCAUAGAAUCAUGGACUUUAAGGUCAGAAGGGACCAUUAUGAUCGUCUAGUCUGAUCCCCUGCACAACACAGGCCACAGAAUCUCACCCACCCACUCCUGUAACAAACCUCUAACCUAUGUCUGAGCUAUUGAAGUCCUCAAAUCGUGGUUUAAAGACUUUGAGGUGCAGAGAAUCUUCCAGCAAGUGACCCGUGCCCCACGCAGCAGAGGAAGGCGAAAAACCCCCAAGGCCUCUGCCAAUCUGCCUUGGAGGAAAAUUCCAACCCCAAAUAUGGCGAUCAGCUAAACCCUGAGCAUGUGGGCAAGACUCACCAGCCAGACACCCAGGAAAGAAUUCUCUGUAGUAACUCAGAUCCCACCCCAUCUAACAUCCCAUCACAGACCAUUGGGCAUAUCUACCACUAAUAGUUGAAGAUUAAUUAAUGGCCAAAAUUAGGCUAUUCCAUCAUAUCAUCCCUUCCAUAAAUUUAUCAAGCUUAAUCUUAAAGCCAGAUAUGUCUUUUCCCCCACUGCUUCCCUUGGAAGGUCCUGUCUAUACUAGAAAUAGUUAUCAUGCUAAGAGCCGUGUCAUCCUCACACGUCACGUCUGCACACAAGAAUGCACCAAAUGGUUUCCAGGCAGGAUUAGACUUGCUAUCAGUAGGGCAAAAUACCCUUUCAGCAUCCAUCCGUUUAGUGCCAGGGCAGGGAACACUAAAACAGCACAGAUUGAAACGGUUCUGAUAAUUGUCCCACCCCUGUCCCACAGUGCACCAGCAGCCUUUCACAGUCUCCCAAGAUGUGCCUAGGAACUGUGAGAGAGGACCUCAGAGGGCAUUGCAAUUGGAACAGUUUAGAACAGCAGUAGUUUAGAUGCAGGGCAGAGUAGCAGUGGACGGCAUGGGCACACCAAACUGGCUGUGCUUAAACCAGUGGAAUUUCAGUGCACCAGUGAAGAUGCAGCCUACAUGGCCUGACUCCUUCACAGUAGAACUUAGGAGAGUCCCCUGUGUUGGGGCCCUUUUUUGCAUCCCCUGUGAUGUGGAUGGGAAAGGAUCUAGCCAUAAGAAGACUCCUGCAUAAAUUUAUGGACUGCACCCACAAUCAGGGUGGAAUGGGUGAUGGGGAGAAGAUUCAGUCAAGCAAGCAAUCAGUUUGGAGGAACCAUCUUACUGCAGGUGUUUUAAAAUAAAAGCAAAACCAUUUGUGAUACUAUUGGAUUCACCCACAGGUGAUAAGAGAAAUAACACGUACAUUCCUAAAGUACAUCGCCUUCUGCUAAAGCAGGAAACCUCACACCGUGGUAAGCUGAUACAUCUUUAACGCAGUUCUGAAAUGCCUAAGACUAUCUAUAUAUAAUGUCAGUGGUCACUGAAAUACUGCGUAUGUGUGUGUGUGUGUUUGUAAAGUGCUCUUGGAUGACAAAUGUUAUAUUAAUAUUACAUUUAUAUAAGUACCUGAUGCACAUUAUAAACUGCACAUUUAUGACUCAGUUCAGCCAUAGCUACCUUUGGACUGAGGCACAGCAGAUAAUUAAAGGGGCACUGUCAACUUGAAAUCUAGUCAAUGUAUAGAAAAGAUCCAGAUCUGCAUCUGCCUCAGAGUCCCUCUGACAAUUUUGGAGAAUCAAUCUCUCCUAAUUCAUUGAAAUCGGUCUCUGUCUCUCUCUCUCUCUGUGUCCUGUUACUGAUUGAAAGACCUACAUGAACAAUGAGGGGAAAUGACUAUGCCAGUGCAUCUGCAUAGGUGGCCCCUUGUGCCUUGUUGACGUCGGUGGGGCUCUGUCCAUGUAGAUGCAGCAGGAAGAUAACCUAACUGACUAUACACAAAGUGCCGCCUUAUGCACAAAGUAACCAGAUUGGGGAAAAAACAGAGCGAAAUGUUUUUGUCACUAUUCUUGUUCAGAUACAGUCCUCUUGGUCUGCGUCUGGCCUACACGCUUUACUUAAAAGCCUCCCUUUGCUACCACUGGUGCAGCAUCCGUGAAGGGAGUGCCAGUAUAGACCCACCACACGCAUUUUAAGCACCAUGCCAUGUGGUCCUGGUUUAGAGCAGGUCUAGACAACAUGGUGCUGAAAAUGCUUGUGGCUCACAGCCCCUGGUCUAUACUAACACUCCCAUAGUUGGCACUAACCAGUGGAGCUGUACUGGUCUAGAAGUCUAGUGGACGCAAGGUCUUAGGUAUCACUUGUAGCAAUAGUAGGUAGAACAAUGGCAGACUGAGAUGUGAUUUUUUAAUAGACAGUAUCCCUUUAAGAGUACACAGCAUCCAUACAGAGCACCUUAGGCCCAAAAAUAUGAGAUCAUGCAGACUAGACAUUGGAUGAAACCCUAGGUUUCUUAAAAGUACCUUGGAAACUUUAAUAAACAAAGUUAGCCAGGAAAUAUGACCUGAUGCAGACCUUCUCAAGUCAAUGGCAAAACUCCCUUUGACUCCUUUUGGAGAAGGAUUGGGCCCAUAGGGUUUUAUGUCUCAUCUAAAAGAGACAUGUUCCUGAAGAGACAAGUAUAUCCACACAGAAGUCUUCUGAGAGAAACAUUUUAUCAUAUGGAAUGGCUCUGGAAUUCAGCCUUCAAUGAGAACUGUGCUUAGAUCACAGAUGGGAUAGUCAGAACUAUACUAAAUCACAGAUGGUAUUUUUUCCCCACAAUUCACAAAAUGGGCUAUUUCCACCACUUCAUUUUUCCCCUUCCUGAUUUUUAUAUUUUAUACAUAGUAAUUGUGUGGGUAAAGGGAGGGAACCCAACAACCCUUUAAAAUGGUACUUAUAAUCUUUUAAUGGUGCUUAUAAUUUUUGCUGUGUAGUAAAUACAUCACUGAAAAUGUAAUUCUUUUGAGAAAUUAAUGUGUAGUUAAUUUUAAUCUGAGCAAUUUGUUUUAUGUACUUGACACACUUAUCUUUUCUAUUGUUUCUGUUUUCUCUGACAA